rnacentral:rRNA from 1 species
GCAAGUCGAACGAGAACGCUCCUUCGGGAGUUAUUAAAGUGGCGCACGGGUGAGUAACACGUAGAUAAUCUACCUAUGGUGUCUGGGAUAACUGACCGAAAGGUUUGCUAAUACCGGAUACGUUCACGACACCUCAAGGUGACGUGAAGAAAGAUGGCCUCUUCUUGAAAGCUAUCGCACCUAGAUGAGUUUGCGUACCAUUAGCUAGUUGGUGGGGUAAGAGCCUACCAAGGCUACGAUGGUUAGCGGGUCUGAGAGGAUGAUC